rnacentral:lncRNA from 1 species
UGCACUUAACGUUACACAUUUUGAAUAGACUUUUCUGUAAUUACCUAAACAAAUCCGGAUCAAUAGUAUCAUUCCCUAAGAGGAAAUUUUAUCAUUUUCGUUUACCAUACAAUAACGUACGAAAGGGUUAACGCAAUGCAAAUACACUGUGUAUUAUCAAAUAGUUAUUAUUCCGUUAUUGUCAGAUUCCAUAUGAACAUUACAGACGAUAGAACCUGCGUUUUUUUAACUUUUGUAAAAACCGACUUCCAACGGUAUUUUUAUAUUGCUUGUAUGCUUUAACAUACUUUAAAGUGCAGCAGAUUUUAAUCUUCUCUCACAAAAGAAGCAGUAUCAAGAAACACUUAGUCACUAACUGACUGCUUCUCUUAAUAUGCAUUUUUCAUGACAUAUAUUUUAAACUUACAUGAAAUAAGACAAAACAGUUUAUAUAUACAUAUAAAUUUAUAAAG